UCAGCCGCUGUCACACGCACAG
rnacentral:miRNA from 1 species